UUUAUUUACUCUUACUUUCAGGUUUGUGUAGGACUCAGAGCCGCACAUAGGACUGCAUGACCUCAGUGUCCAAGCUGGGACCCAGAAGGUUGUUUGGCCAAAGUACUGAGAGAUACAAGUGUUUUUUCUUCACUCCAUGCUUCACCUCCAGUGUAAAGAACAGAUAAGAGAUCAUCUCUUCCCAUUUCCCACUCUGCCAGAUGGUUCCACAAAUGCCUACUUUUUGCAAAUAUCUUGCUUUCCUUCUCUGGAACAUGCUUUUUAUCCUCCGGUUCUAGAAAUCCGACCAAAUCUAAAGCCCCCAGAUCUUACUCUGUUCCGUUGUACAUUAUUAAAAUGAUCUCAUAAAGCACUUAAUUUCUGAAAUAUAGUUUUAUGUAUUAUUUCUUAGCAGACAUUCUCAUUCAUACCUAUACUGUCUUCCAUUUUUUUCUUUGUAAUAUAUUCCUGUCACAAUUAUGGCCUAGGUAACAUAAAAACACAAAAAUGCAAUAUAUGAGCAUCCCAAAAGGAUUGAAUGUUUUCAAAACUCAAAAGUCUGGCUACUUGUCUGUUAGGUCAUAUAUUAAAAUGUGAAUAAUAGGGACUUAAUGAAUCUGGCAUUGGGGAUAAGAUCAACACCUACUUUUCAAGUUCUUUAUUCUGUAUCAGGUCUGCUUUUAAAUUUGGCCCUUACAUUUAAGCAGAUGUGCCUGAACAUACUGCAGUAUGACCAGGGACUAAGGAGUCCAAUUCUCUUUGGAGUCUCCAUAAUUCUGGUAUUUCAACUGAAUAAAUUACUGUCUGCAAAGUAGAGCUGUUAUGUUGUUCUUGAGCUUUAGAGGGCGGUAGAGGAGCUGUCUGAAAAAAUCC